rnacentral:tRNA from 1 species
GCCCUCGUAGUAUAAAUUUAAUACACCGGUCUUGUAAGCCGGGGAUGGAUAAUUCUCCCUAGGGCA